rnacentral:rRNA from 1 species
UACUAGAGUAGCACUCGCAUAUCAAUAAGCGGAGGAAAAGAAACUAACAAGGAUUCCCCUAGUAACGGCGAGUGAAGCGGGAAGAGCUCAAAUUUGAGAUCUUAAAGGGUUUCCCUUUACGAAUUGUAGUUUAAAGAAGUGUUUUCUGUUGAGGUUUUGGUAAAAGUUCUUUGGAAUAGGACAUCAUAGAGGGUGAGAAUCCCGUAUUUGACCUUUACUUUCAACUUUGUGAUACACUUUCAAAGAGUCGGAUUGUUUGGGAAUGCAGUCCAAAAUGGGUGGUAAAUUUCAUCUAAAGCUAAAUAUUGGCGAGAGACCGAUAGCGAACAAGUACCGUGAGGGAAAGAUGAAAAGAACUUUGAAAAGAGAGUUAAACAGUACGUGAAAUUGUCAAAAGGGAAGCGUUUGACACCAGUGUUGUUUUUCUGAAAAUCAAUUAAAGAACUGUUUAUGCUAAGCUGUUUAGACUUUAUCAGCUAUCUGUUUAGUUUUGAGCUUUUCUUUAAUGCACUUUUCAGUUAACAGGUCAACAUCAAUUUCUUUUGCUGUAAAAAAGCUUGAGGAAGGUGGCCUGAGAUUCGUCUUAAGUGUUUAUAGCCUCUUGCCUAUGCAGUCGGAGAGAUUGAGGUCUGCAGCGUAGAUCCUUCGGGGCUAAAUGCAUUUGUGCUAAGUCAUAGCAUUUUAUAGACAACUUGUUGACUAUGAUUUGUCUUGUAGCUUACUCGCUUAUGUUAUUUUACCUACGCUUAGGAUGUUGAUCUCUCACAGUCGAGC